rnacentral:ncRNA from 1 species
CAAAGGCUUGGUCCUAACUUUAUUGUCAGCUCUAGCUAGAUUUACACAUGCAAGUAUCCGCCCCCCCGUGAGAAUGCCCAUGAUUCCCUGUUUGGGAACAAGGAGCCGGUAUCAGGCACACCUAGCCCAUUAAGCCCACGACACCUUGCUUUGCCACACCCUCAAGGGAACCCAGCAGUGAUAAACUUUAAGCCAUAAGUGAAAACUUGACUUAGUCAAAGCUAAGAGGGCCGGUCAAACUCGUGCCAGCCACCGCGGUUAUACGAGAGGCCCAAGUUGACAAACCACGGCGUAAAGAGUGGUUAAGGAAACUUGAAACUAAAGCCGAACGCUCCCUUAGAGCUGUUAUACGUGUACGAGAGUACGAAGCUCAACCACGAAAGUGACUUUAUAACCCCUGACCCCACGAAAGCUAAGAAACAAACUGGGAUUAGAUACCCCACUAUGCUUAGCCCUAAACAUUGAUUUUACAUUACACCUAAUAUUCCGCCCGGGAAUUACAAGCACUAGCUUAAAACCCAAAGGACUUGGCGGUGCUUAAUAUCCACCUAGAGGAGCCUGUUCUAUAACCGAUAACCCCCGUUCAACCUCACCCCCUCUUGCCCCUACCGCCUAUAUACCACCGUCGUAAGCCUACCCUGUGAAGGCCCAAUAGUACGCAAAACUAGUAUCGCCCCGAACGUCAGGUCAAGGUGUAGUACAUGAGGGGAGAAAGAAAUGGGCUACAUUCAUCAACCCUAGUGAACACGAAUGAUGCACUGAAAACCUAUGCAGCUGAAGGAGGAUUUAGUAGUAAGAGAGAAACAGAGUGUCUCCCUGAAACCGGCUCUUAAGCGCGCACACACCGCCCGUCACCCUCACCAUUAGCACCCGGCUAAAACAUAAAUAAAGCACAAACGAACGCUAUUUUUUACGGAGAGGAAAGUCGUAACAUGGUAAGCGCACCGGAAGGUGUGCUUGGCUAAAU